UUCUUUUUCUCGCUUUAGGUGUUAACGCUGGCUUCUGGCCACUAAACCCCCCCUAUUCCUAAUGGUUGACCUCGGAUCAGGUAGGACUACCCGCUGAACUUAAGCAUAUC
rnacentral:rRNA from 1 species